GAUGAAGAACGUAGCGAAAUGCGAUACGUAAUGUGAAUUGCAGAAUUCAGUGAAUCAUCGAAUCUUUGAACGCACAUUGCGCCCGCUGGUAUUCCGGCGGGCAUGCCUGUUCGAGCGUCAUUUCAACCCUCAAGCCCCCCGGGUUUGGUGUUGGGGAUCGGCUCUGCCUCACGGCGGUGCCGCCCCCGAAAUACAUUGGCGGUCUCGCUGCAGCCUCCAUUGCGUAGUAGCUAACACCUCGCAACUGGAACGCGGCGCGGCCAUGCCGUAAAACCCCAACUUCUGAAUGUUGACCUCGGAUCAGGUAGGAAUACCCGCUGAACUUAAGCAUAUCAAUAAGCGAGGA
rnacentral:misc_RNA from 1 species